UUUUACAAUGGAGAGUUUGAUCCUGGCUCAGGAUGAACGCUAGCGGCAGGCCUAAUACAUGCAAGU
rnacentral:rRNA from 1 species